UACGUAGGGUGCGAGCGUGAAUCGGAAUUACUGGGCGUAAAGCGUGCGCAGGCGGUCUUGCAAGACAGGUGUGAAAUCCCCGGGCUUAACCUGGGAACUGCACUUGUGACUGCAAGGCUGGAGUGCGGCAGAGGGGGAUGGAAUUCCGCGUGUAGCAGUGAAAUGCGUAGAUAUGCGGAGGAACACCGAUGGCGAAGGCAAUCCCCUGGGCCUGCACUGACGCUCAUGCACGAAAGCGUGGGGAGCAAACAGG
rnacentral:rRNA from 1 species